GCGUCGGUGGUUCAGUGGUAGAAUACUCGCCUGCCACGCGGGUGGCCCGGGUUCGAUUACCGGCCGACGCA
rnacentral:tRNA from 1 species